UUAACUCAUAUUUGUAUGGAAUAGGAUCGUUUGCCUACGUUUGUCGCUAGGAGCGCUGUUCCAACUGCAUACAAAAUUGGGUUA
rnacentral:pre_miRNA from 1 species